rnacentral:rRNA from 1 species
AUUGAACGCUGGCGGCACGCCUUACACAUGCAAGUCGAACGGUAACGCGGGGCAACCUGGCGACGAGUGGCGAACGGGUGAGUAAUGUAUCGGAACGUGCCCAGUUGUGGGGGAUAACUGCUCGAAAGAGCAGCUAAUACCGCAUACGACCUGAGGGUGAAAGCGGGGGAUCGCAAGACCCCGCGCAAUUGGAGCGGCCGAUAUCAGAUUAGGUAGUUGGUGGGGUAAAGGCCUACCAAGCCUACGAUCUGUAGCUGGUCUGAGAGGACGACCAGCCACACUGGGACUGAGACACGGCCCAGACUCCUACGGGAGGCAGCAGUGGGGAAUUUUGGACAAUGGGGGCAACCCUGAUCCAGCCAUGCCGCGUGCGGGAAGAAGGCCUUCGGGUUGUAAACCGCUUUUGUCAGGGAAGAAAUCCUUUGAACUAAUACUUCGAAGGGAUGACGGUACCUGAAGAAUAAGCACCGGCUAACUACGUGCCAGCAGCCGCGGUAAUACGUAGGGUGCAAGCGUUAAUCGGAAUUACUGGGCGUAAAGCGUGCGCAGGCGGUUAUGCAAGACAGAUGUGAAAUCCCCGGGCUCAACCUGGGAACUGCAUUUGUGACUGCAUGGCUAGAGUACGGUAGAGGGGGAUGGAACUCCACGUGUAGCAGUGAAAUGCGUAGAUAUGUGGAGGAACACCGAUGGCGAAGGCAAUCCCCUGGACCUGUACUGACGCUCAUGCACGA